GGUCUUACAAAAUGUCUCUUAUCUUUGAGGCACACUUGCACAUAGCUAAUUUCUUUCAGGGAUUGUGAUUCCAGAUGGUGGAGCUCAAAUGUUAACAGUUUUUUCUCUAUAUGGAAUUAAUGGUGGCCUUGGAAUUAAUGUAACCUUGGAUUUUUUUACCUAUACAAUAAAUAAAACUUCAAUUGUCAUAUAUAUAAAAAUAUAUGUAUAGGACUGUAAAAAUCAAUAGAUAAGUUAUUAAGACUUUCUUGAGACGGGGGUACAUUAUUUGCAGCUGGGGUUG
rnacentral:lncRNA from 1 species